rnacentral:lncRNA from 13 species
GAAGAUGCCUUCAUACAAAGGUCUCAGGGAAAAGCAUCGACACGCCUAUUGGAGGGGCUCUUCAUGUCCAGGAUGGCAGCAGGACCCAACCGAAGAGCCCGGCCAGGCAUCAGGAGCACAGGUGCCUUCCACUAACUAGAGUGUGCUGCCUGCUCCACACAUAGACACAGGUGCGUCUGGUUUUCUGGGUCUCUGCCGUCUCUUGCUGUCUGUGAGGCCAUCAUAGGAUUCUCAGGGCAGCAUGGGGUUAGUUAGUAGUGUGAGUCAAGUUAAUGAACCUUCAUAAUCAAGUUAAUGAACUGUGGUUCUCCCCUCUGGGAGACACAUUUUAGCAGGAGCCACCAUGGGACAAGUGAUUUUAAUGAUAACACCACAGGCGGCGUGCCAGCAGGACAGGUGUGGAUAUGCGGAGAGGGGCCUUUUCAAAAUCUCUCCAUUUCAUUGCCCAGGCAACAGCUCUUGGAAAGAGCUGGCUUUGGACCCAGGCUGCUGACAUGCAGGCUGUGUCCCUGCGCCUUCCCAUCUGCUCCUUGAUCUAACAUCUCUCCCACGGACACCUCAGAGAGGCCCUCCCUGCAACAAUGCACCCCGGAGACGCCCACAUGACUUGGAUUUGCUGCCUCUGGGGCUAACUUGGCUAAAAUUAAAAAUUCAAAAAAAACCAUGUUUGGGAAGAAAACAUCUGAGUUUUUAGAGCAAGAGAAGGAGAGAGGAGAAGAAAGAGAGACAGGUUGAGAGGGAGAGGGAGAGGGAAAAAGAAGGGAAAGAGAGAGGCAGGCUGAGAGAUGGAGGGAGAGAGAAAGUGAGAGAGAGGAAGUGGGAAAGAGAGAAAGAGAGAGGAGGGAAAGAGGAAGGUAGGUUGAGAGAGAGAGGGAGGGAGGGAGGAAGACAAGUGGAACGGGUGAGUGCUUCGAGAGGCAGUUAAUGACAUUCAGUCAGGUAUGUGACCUAAGCUGCCAGCUUGAGCUGCUCUUUUCCCAAAGCAGCCAUUGUGAAAAGGGACUUUUGAUAUAUGAGAGUGCCCAUCACUCUGAUAGUUGUGCCCUGAUCCCCUCACUGGGAUGCAGCAUCCUUCUCAGGAGCCCUGCUGUCCCUGGCAGCAGGAAGAGGACCUGGUGGACAUUUCCUGAUUCUACUCAUACGACGUGGUUAGAGCAUCAGGAACCUGUUUCAUCCCCUUCCUCGCCUGCUUGGAGCAUCCAAGGGUACAGGAAUAGAGGACCAGAGGCCAUGCCAUCACUCAAAUCCAAGGAACAGUGUGAGCAGCCCAGGCGGGGAGCAGCCCCCCAAGGUGAUGUGGAGAAGCGUGGCCCAGCCUGUCAUGUUAUUCAUCAUCCAAAUCUUUCAUCCAGGAGAAGAACAGAGAGGUUAGAGGUGUGUGUUUAGGUGGAUUACAUUUUUUCUACAGUGCGGAGAGGGACCCAGCGGCCUCAGCCCCCAGAUCAGCAUCCCAGAGGGAUUCUAUUUUCCAGGUAACUGCCAGAUCAAGGCCUGAGUCUUCGCCCAUGAGCACUCACUGUCCGCAUCUGCAUACUCUCUGCAACCCUUAUUCAUUUUUUACCUACUUUGAUUUUUAAAAUAAGUCUGUCACUCAAAGUCUUCUAAACUAAAAAAUUCCAAAUGGAA